UAGGGUAACACCCGUUCCCAUUCCGAACACGAAGGUUAAGCCUAAAGAGGCCAAUGGUACUGCAUGGGUGACCGUGUGGGAGAGUAGGUUGUCGCUA
rnacentral:rRNA from 1 species